rnacentral:rRNA from 1 species
AUUGAACGCUGGCGGCAUGCCUUACACAUGCAAGUCGAACGGCAGCACGGGUGCUUGCACCUGGUGGCGAGUGGCGAACGGGUGAGUAAUACAUCGGAACAUGUCCUGUAGUGGGGGAUAGCCCGGCGAAAGCCGGAUUAAUACCGCAUACGAUCUACGGAUGAAAGCGGGGGACCUUCGGGCCUGGCGCUAUAGGGUUGGCCGAUGGCUGAUUAGCUAGUUGGUGGGGUAAAGGCCUACAAAGGCGACGAUCAGUAGCUGGUCUGAGAGGACGACCAGCCACACUGGGACUGAGACACGGCCCAGACUCCUACGGGAGGCAGCAGUGGGGAAUUUUGGACAAUGGGCGAAAGCCUGAUCCAGCAAUGCCGCGUGUGUGAAGAAGGCCUUCGGGUUGUAAAGCACUUUUGUCCGGAAAGAAAUCCUUGGCCCUAAUACGGUCGGGGGAUGACGGUACCGGAAGAAUAAGCACCGGCUAACUACGUG